AUUUCAGAUAUUACAAAAAGUUAGUUGAUAAAUAUAACCAUCCACCAUAUUACAAAAUCAACAAAAAUAGUUAACAUAAAAGUCAAAAGAUCAUCGAUACAAAGUUAAACUAAAAUCAUAAUGAAAAAACUUCUAUUUUAAUGUAUGAUGAUAACCACCUUUUCACAUAAGAAGCACCCUUUCAAAAACUGUCCUUUUUCGAAAACCCUACAAAGAAAGGAUAUCCAUUAGAUAACAAAAUAUUAGAAAGAAAUGUACAUGAAGUUGGAAGAGAAAAAUAAAAACUACCAAAAAAAAGAAAUUGGUAAUAUAAAUACGAUAUACCUUAUGGCUUAUGCAUGUGUUUGAAUGAAAUAUGGUUAUCCCAUGGUUAUUUCAUGGGAUAGACAAAAAUCCACCUCCUUCAUUCUCCUCCAAAUAUUCUUCACCCUUUGGAAAAAUGAGUAAUCAAGUUUUUGCAUGUUCUUGCAAUGAUUUUUAUAGAAAAUAAAAUUAUGCACUAAAUUUGUUCAAUUUGUAGGUUAUCAAUAUAAAAUAAUGAGUAGUGGAAAGAGCU
rnacentral:lncRNA from 1 species